rnacentral:rRNA from 1 species
AAGCUCAAAUUUGAAAUCUGGCACUUUCAGUGUCCAUUUGUAAUUUGAAGAAGGUAUCUUUGGGUCUGGCUCUUGUCUAUGUUUCUUGGAACAGAACGUCACAGAGGGUGAGAAUCCCGUGCGAUGAGAUGUCCCAGACCUAUGUAAAGUUCCUUCGAAGAGUCGAGUUGUUUGGGAAUGCAGCUCUAAGUGGGUGGUAAAUUCCAUCUAAAGCUAAAUAUUGGCGAGAGACCGAUAGCGAACAAGUACAGUGAUGGAAAGAUGAAAAGAACUUUGAAAAGAGAGUGAAAAAGUACGUGAAAUUGUUGAAAGGGAAGGGCUUGAGAUCAGACUUGGUAUUUUGUAUGUUACUCUCUCGGGGGUGGCCUCUACAGUUUACCGGGCCAGCAUCAGUUUGGGCGGUAGGACAAUUGCAAAGAAAUGUGGCACUGCCUCGGUAGUGUGUUAUAGUCUUUGUCGAUACUGCCAGCCUAGACUGAGGACUGCGGCUUCGGCCUAGGAUGUUGGCAUAAUGAUCUUAAGUCGCCCGUC